UUUGUCCGCUAAAAAAAGAACGAAGCACGCAAAAGUUAAAAAUAAAUAAAUUUUAAAUUAAAAUCAAUUUGAAACAAUUCCAUGGGAAAAUCAGUCUAAAAUCAUAAAAAUAUCAGAUAUCGGAAGAUACCGUUAUAUGGGCUAUGGAAAAACGUGGUUUUAUAUGGACUAUCACACAGCAAAAGUGAUAGAACCCAUGUAAACUUAACCUUAUGAUAUGUUACGUUACGUUGCCACCAAUAAACUUGUACGUUGCGUAGCGUACGUUUGCGUUACAUACUUUUAAUAACUUGACAAUGUCAGCUGCUAAAGCAUUCUCAGAAGUUCGUGUUUAGAGGUAGCUACAAAGCCAGCAUUUCAUUCGUAAUUUGCUUUUUCCGGCGUCUGGUCCGCGACAAUUUUGAAGAGAUCAUCAAUUAAGAAUAGUGAAUGUGAAUUUUACUUAUAACCAAAAAGAUUUAAUCUAUUUGGAGUUAAUUACUAGCGGCAAACAUUGGAACACGAAUACUGAUACGAGUAUUUUUUGCUGCAACAAAGCAAGCAGUCCAAGGGGUAGUUUUUAAAUGCAGAUGUGGAACAUGAUUUAAUUAAUUUAAGUAUUUGAUUAAAUGCAGUUAUAAUAAUAUGUUGGAUAUGUUUAUCGAUAUAUUUAACAAAAACUUUUGUAGAUUCUUUAGUCUAAGAUGUAUUAGAAUAAAAUCUAGAAUGUAGCUCAAAAA